GGGUUGUGAGGUUAAGCGACUAAGCGUACACGGUGGAUGCCUAGGCAAUCAGAGGCGAUGAAGGACGUGCUAAUCUGCGAUAAGCGUCGGUAAGGUGAUAUGAACCGUGAUAACCGACGAUUUCCGAAUGGGGAAACCCAGUGCAAUUCGUUGCACUAUCGUUUGAUGAAUACAUAGUCAAACGAAGCGAACCGGGGGAACUGAAACAUCUCAGUACCCCGAGGAAAAGAAAUCAACCGAGAUUCCCCUAGUAGCGGCGAGCGAACGGGGAGCAGCCCAGAGUCUUAAUCAACAUUAGCAUCAGGAGAACGGUCUGGAAAGGCCGGCAGUAAAGGGUGAUAGCCCCGUAUCCGAAGGUGUUAGUGUUGUGAACUCGACGAGUAGGGCGGGACACGUGUUAUCCUGUCUGAAUAUGGGGGGACCAUCCUCCAAGGCUAAAUACUCCUGAUUGACCGAUAGUGAACCAGUACCGUGAGGGAAAGGCGAAAAGAACCCCGGCGAGGGGAGUGAAAUAGAACCUGAAACCGUGUACGUACAAGCAGUGGGAGCCCCACCACCAAAGCAUUUUCUGGUGUUGAGGACAACUUUGAAGUGACAUUCAACACGCGUUGGCGGAGCGUUUUUUGCGACGCCCAACACACAAAACAAGCAGUGAAUGUGCUUUGGGGUGGGGUGACUGCGUACCUUUUGUAUAAUGGGUCAGCGACUUAUAUUCUGUAGCAAGGUUAACCGUAUAGGGGAGCCGUAGGGAAACCGAGUCUUAACUGGGCGAAUAAGUUGCAGGGUAUAGACCCGAAACCCGGUGAUCUAGCCAUGGGCAGGUUGAAGGUUGGGUAACACUAACUGGAGGACCGAACCGACUAAUGUUGAAAAAUUAGCGGAUGACUUGUGGCUGGGGGUGAAAGGCCAAUCAAACCGGGAGAUAGCUGGUUCUCCCCGAAAGCUAUUUAGGUAGCGCCUCGUGAACUCAUCUUCGGGGUAGAGCACUGUUUCGACUAGGGGGUCAUCCCGACUUACCAACUCGAUGCAAACUACGAAUACCGAAGAAUGUUAUCACGGGAGACACACGGCGGGUGCUAACGUUCGUCGUGAAGAGGGAAACAACCCAGACCGCCAGCUAAGGUCCCAAAGUCAUAGUUAAGUGGGAAACGAAGUGGGAAGGCUCAGACAGCCAGGAUGUUGGCUUAGAAGCAGCCAUCAUUUAAAGAAAGCGUAAUAGCUCACUGGUCGAGUCGGCCUGCGCGGAAGAUGUAACGGGGCUAAACUAUGCACCGAAGCUGCGGCAGCGAUAUGUAAAUAUUGUUGGGUAGGGGAGCGUUCUGUAAGCCUGUGAAGGUGUACUGCGAGGUAUGCUGGAGGUAUCAGAAGUGCGAAUGCUGACAUAAGUAACGAUAAUGCGGGUGAAAAACCCGCACGCCGGAAGACCAAGGGUUCCUGUCCAACGUUAAUCGGGGCAGGGUGAGUCGACCCCUAAGGCGAGGCAGAAAUGCGUAGUCGAUGGGAAACGGGUUAAUAUUCCCGUACUGGUGAUAAUUGCGAUGGGGGACGGAGAAGGCUAGGCUAUCCGGGCGACGGUUGUCCCGGUUUAAGGAUGUAGGCAGGUGAAUUAGGCAAAUCCGGUUCACUAUAUGCUGAGGUCCGACGACGAGUCACUACGGUGAUGAAGUAGCUCAUGCCCCGCUUCCAGGAAAAGCCUCUAAGCUCUAGAUUAUCAUUAAUCGUACCCCAAACCGACACAGGUGGUCAGGUAGAGAAUACUCAGGCGCUUGAGAGAACUCGGGUGAAGGAACUAGGCAAAAUGGUGCCGUAACUUCGGGAGAAGGCACGCUGGCGCUAGGUGAAGUCCCUCGCGGAUGGAGCUGAAGCCAGUCGCAGAUACCAGCUGGCUGCAACUGUUUAUUAAAAACACAGCACUGUGCAAACACGAAAGUGGACGUAUACGGUGUGACGCCUGCCCGGUGCUGGAAGGUUAAUUGAUGGGGUUAUCCGUAAGGAGAAGCUCUUGAUCGAAGCCCCAGUAAACGGCGGCCGUAACUAUAACGGUCCUAAGGUAGCGAAAUUCCUUGUCGGGUAAGUUCCGACCUGCACGAAUGGCGUAAUGAUGGCCAGGCUGUCUCCACCCGAGACUCAGUGAAAUUGAACUCGCUGUGAAGAUGCAGUGUACCCGCGGCAAGACGGAAAGACCCCGUGAACCUUUACUAUAGCUUGACACUGAACAUUGAGCCUUGAUGUGUAGGAUAGGUGGGAGGCUUUGAAGUGUGGACGCCAGUCUGCAUGGAGCCAACCUUGAAAUACCACCCUUUAAUGUUUGAUGUUCUAACGUAGCCCCGUUAUCCGGGGUGCGGACAGUGUCUGGUGGGUAGUUUGACUGGGGCGGUCUCCUCCCAAAGAGUAACGGAGGAGCACGAAGGUUGGCUAAGCAUGGUCGGACAUCAUGCGGUUAGUGCAAAGGCAUAAGCCAGCUUGACUGCGAGAGUGACGGCUCGAGCAGGUACGAAAGUAGGUCUUAGUGAUCCGGUGGUUCUGAAUGGAAGGGCCAUCGCUCAACGGAUAAAAGGUACUCCGGGGAUAACAGGCUGAUACCGCCCAAGAGUUCAUAUCGACGGCGGUGUUUGGCACCUCGAUGUCGGCUCAUCACAUCCUGGGGCUGAAGUAGGUCCCAAGGGUACGGCUGUUCGCCGUUUAAAGUGGUACGCGAGCUGGGUUUAGAACGUCGUGAGACAGUUCGGUCCCUAUCUGCCGUGGGCGUUGGAAGAUUGAAAGGGGCUGCUCCUAGUACGAGAGGACCGGAGUGGACGCACCACUGGUGUUCGGGUUGUCAUGCCAAUGGCAUUGCCCGGUAGCUAAGUGCGGAAGAGAUAACCGCUGAAAGCAUCUAAGCGGGAAACUUGCCUUGAGAUGAGUCUUCCCUGACCCUUAAAGGGUCCUAAAGGAACGUUUAAGACUAAGACGUUGAUAGGUUGGGUGUGUAAGCGUAGCGAUACGUUGAGCUAACCAAUACUAAUGAACCGUGAGGCUUAACCUGACAACACCGAAGGUGUUUUAG
rnacentral:rRNA from 1 species